AGAGUAAAUAUUUGUGCUCGGCAGUUUCUAAGCGAAAGAAAAUCGAAAAACUGAAAGCAAGUAUCCAUUAAAUUUGAGUUUUAAAGUGUACGGUUGUACGAUGCCCUUUGGGUGUGUUGUACCCUAGGUAGUAGAGCUGCACAUCUGGAAUGUUGAUAGUUAUGCGAUACAAUACAUAGGAUUUGUUGUGUUUAGUGUGACUGUUUUCGAAGUAUACAUGUUGCUUUGUAGUCGUCGCGUGUGUUCGGUGGACGUUGUCGUGAUUCUGAAGAAUGACGAAUAGCAUCUCGAACUCGGAUAGCUGCAACACAUUUAUACUCACGGAAACCUAACCUCAACAACUACUUCGUGUACUUGACCAUGAUAAUGUUGAAAGCAUAUUUGCUGCGGAAUUUGCCUGAAAAACUCUGCUACAGAUUAAAUCGUUGCGUUAGAUCUGUGAGUGUGACACAUAAAAAAUGUGAUCAAACGUUUCGACCAUACUCUACUCGCCCUAUUGCUCCUGCUUGGAAUGUUUUGUUUUUCGGCACCGAUGAUUUUUCAGCAGAAAGCUUAACAGCUCUUUGUAAUGAAAUGAAACUGCUAAGAGUCGUGGGUCAUCUAGAGGUUGUGACAUCGACAAAAUCUCGUAAACCAAACCCUGUACAGAGGAUCGCACAGCAGGAAAACCUCGCAGUUCAUCCAUGGCCGUUGGAGUCUGUGCCACCAGGAUUUCACAUUGGUCUUGUAGCAUCUUUUGGACACCUCAUUCCCAAGAAGAUAAUUGAAAUGUUCCCUUUAGGUGUUCUGAACGUACAUGCCAGUCUCCUGCCUCGUUGGAGGGGUGCAGCUCCCAUUGUAUAUGCCGUAUUGAAUGGGGACACAAAAACAGGAGUUUCCAUAAUGCAGAUUAUGCCACACAGGUUUGAUGUUGGCCCAGUACUGAAGCAGAUGGCUUGCCCCAUAGGUCCCCACGAAACGGCAGCUGACGUCCAGACCCGCCUCGCACGGCUUGGCGCUGAAGCUCUCCUGGAAGUCGUACGACAUCUGCCUCACUCCCUGGAUGAUGCCUGGCCACAGCUGGAAGAUGGGGUGACAUAUGCUCCUAAGGUGACCCCAGCCCUGUACCGUGCGGAUUGGCACAAGAUGGCAGCUGCCGACGUCUACAACCUGUGCCGUGCUCUCGGCCACGUCACCUCCAACUGGUACGGCACGGCAGUCCGGCUGGCGCAGCCUGACGCACCCUCGUCAGCGCCUUCUCCCGUCUCGCACCUCUCCUCACUUCCUGCGACUGCCAUCCCGGGCGGUGAUGUGGCAUCUUCGAGGACUCCACGUAGAGCACUUUCGACAGAGAGUUUUACGGGGCAGCAAUUCACUCCAGGAAUGGUUCGCAUCCACAGGGCCAGUGCCAUGCUGAGGGUGAUGUGUGUGGAUGGCAGCUGGCUGGCCUUUGCAAAAGUCACCAUCAUCGGGAAAAAGCCCAUGUCGGCAAUUGACUUCUAUAAUGGUUUCCUGUCAAAAGUGCCUUUGGAUGAAUGGAUCCUCACAUGACCACUGGACCAAAUGGAAUUACUGUUAUUUGUUCAGUUUUUCUUUGCACCAACUUCAGGCCCCUCUGUGAAAAUGGCAAGCACAAGGAUACCAGAAUGCUGGAGUCUCAGGUGAAGAAAUAAGCUGAUUUGUGAUAAAACUUUGAGAAGAGAAUGUAAAAUGACUGUGUGAGUUACGCACUCACAAACUGUACAUUUCUAGUCAUUCAGCUGGUUAUACAGUUUUUUAGCAAUAAAUACCUUUGGCAAAA